AUCAAAAUAGAAAUGAGACAACUGCCUCACUACAAAACUACCAAUAUUAAAAACUUGAGUUUUACUAUUGUUGUUCAUUGGUUUUUCCUAGGUUGAUGGGACCCUCAAAUAACCGGAAUUUUUAGAUAACCAGAACACCGUAAUCCCCCAGGUUUUACUGUAUAUUUAAAGGAGUAUUUUUAGGGCAGCUGAUAUAAUUUGAGAGCAAUGUGAUGAAGUUAAGCUUCGGAAAAUGUAAGAUGAAUUUCAAGAAUAUUAGACUAGAAUAUGCUUACCUGCUAAAUGGCUGAUAGUUCAAUGAUUAGCAGCCAAGUUAGUUCUUUCAGGAAAAACCCAUAAAGGGCUUGUUGAUUUGAAAAAGUUUGGAGUCACCCCUGGAAGAUAACGUACCCUCUUAAAACAGGUAACAUAAGAACAGCCGUACUGGGACAGACCAAAGGUCCAUCUAGCCCAGUAUCCUGUUUUCUGACAGUGGCCAAUGCCAGAUGCCCCAGAGGGAAUGAACAGAAACAGGUAAUCAUCAAGUGAUCCGUCUCCUGUCAUCCGUUUCCAGCCACAGAUAAGAGACAGUUGUCUGAAAACUUAGCUAGCUUGUCUGAAUAUCAGUUUACCACAGCUUUUAAAAUUCAUUUUGAAAGAUGCACUUCCUGAAUUGAGCCUGAAGCUUGUAACUAACCCCUUAACUCUCUGCUCCAGAGUAUUUGAAAGGGUAGUGGUUCUCAGUGAGGAUUAUGCAUUUUAAUCGUUAUAUAUAAAAUACCUAUACACACACAUACUGUGUAUUAUAAUUGAGAUUAAUUUUUAAUCCCAAAUAAGCUGUUUACUAAACGAACAAUGCUCUAUUUAAAGGGAUCAGAAACUAGAGGAAUAUUCAAGGACUUAAUUCACCUUUUUAUUUAAAACAGGCUGAUCCUUUUCAAUAGCCUGUGUUUAAAUUGGCUUAAUUAAAAAAAAAAAGGCUUAGAAACAGUUUUUCCCUAUUGUCUAUUUUAUAGUGUAGCAGAUUAGGCAUGGAAUAAAACACCAGGACUUGACUGCGUGUGAAGGCAAAAAUCCGUGAUUGCAUAUGGAUUUUGCAACAAAGUAAACCUCAGCACUAAAGUCCUUCAGUAAUAUAUAAAUGAAAAAGUCCAGCCACCGUCUGUGCAUAGUAGAAUUGUAGCCCUUGUGUGAUGGAGGUCUUCUGUGCAUGCUUUUCACUGGAUAUAUCUACAAUGUGUCUGCCUUUGGAUGCUUGACCAAAAUAGUAGCUGCCAUCUUCAUAAGAGGGUUCAUCUGCAUCGAAAUAAAGGCCCUGAUUCCGCCGAGUCUUUUUCUGAAUGGCUGGAUCCUUGUCCUAUGCUGAGCCUGACUGAUUUCAGUGGUGCUGUGCAUUGAUACAGGAUGCCUAAGGAGAACAGCUUGCAGGAGUGGGAUAUAGGAAAGUUGUGUAGGGUAUAACCAAUCUACUUUUAUUACUGGGGAAAAAUCCCAGACAUUUAAGCAUUAGGUUAAUUUCUUGCAUUUCCUUCUUCCUGAGUUGAUUAAAGGAAAACUUGAUUUGCUGUAAUCAUAGCAAGUGCUUAAGCACACAUUGGAGAGGAGAGCGUUAUGCUGACUGCAGUAAAUAUCUGUUAAUUUGCUUGAGUAAAGCAAAAGUUUUUAUUGCUAAUUUUAUAAUAUUAGCUGCAGAGGACUGCAUGAAUACUCAAAUGUUAACAUAAGUGUUCUGGUCUUUUUUUUCAUAACAUGGAAUGCAAGCUAUGCAAUAUUACUGCAGACUCAUUUGCAUGUUGUCAAUCAAGUUAUUAAGAAGGCAGAUGAGGCUGUCAACCUCUGUCAGACUUUCAUGUCAUAUGAAAAAUAUUGAACUGCUAAGAAUAAAAGUUGCCAAGAAAACUACAAAAUUAGGUGCUCCAAUAGAAAUCAACAUUGUCUUUCCUUUGUAGAAUUUGUAAAUGCUGAACUAUUGGAGGUGGUGCUAAGCAGGGAGAACAGCAAAACAGAGACAAUGGAUUUCAGGAAGGCAGAUUUUAGUAAAUGCAGAGAUCUGGCUUCCAGUUACAAACACCUAAGAGAGCAGACUGACACUGAGGCCUUGUCUUCAUUUACCAGACCUCAGAUGUUCUAAAGCUAGAGCUCCAUAGAGUGGCCAGUGGCACCAGCAGAGGAGAGAGAGAGAGAGAGAGAGCGCUCAGGCAGCCAAACCCCAAGUCAGAUGUGUUGGUAUGGCUCAAACUCAACACCUUAAAGCCAAUAGGAAGGCUGGAUAGCAUUUGGUGUAAUACACUUCCUGAACCUGAUGUGGCACAGAGGUUUGCAGAAGCAUUUUGCACUACUUACAACUUCCAGAUUUUUUACACUGUAGCACCGCCUGUAGGUCUCUCCGACAUUCGUGACUGUCGUCAAUUUUUCAUUCGUUACCUUCAAAUUGCAAAAGAAAAAGCCAUGAGAUUUCAGAUGCAUCAGCACUCCCGUCACACACCUUGAUGCAGUGUGUUCCUCAAUGACCUAUCCUGCUCUACCCUCGAAGGUCCAGGCUUUCUAGUGCUUGCCAUCAAAUACUGUAGACAAAGACUCUCAGAAUCCAUUAUUUCCUGGUGUGACUGCAAUCAAGAUUUUCAAGAAAGUCCUGAAUUUAAUGCAUAUGCAGUCUGUUAAAUUCUUCUGAAUGGCUCUGAAAAUUUGGCCACUUAUGCUGCAUCCAAAUGGAAGCUGAGCUCUUAAAGAUCUGUCCCCUAUUCAAGCCAACUUUGAUUAAUAAUCAUUGUAUUAUGCCAUACAUACACACUUUGCCCAGAGAAAGAUGGUCUGUUUUCGAUGAUAUCAGCCAGAAUUCCUGGCUCUCAGCCUGUUGCUUAGUCCCUAUACUAUGCUACUCACUGAAUAAAUACUCAUUUUUAACAAGGUAA